CAGGGAUAUAUCUCACCAGUACUUUUUCUUCCUUUGUAUGUACAAACAGGAAUUCCAUUUUGUAGCCCUGAACCAGAUCAGGAAGUGAUAAAACAGAAUCCAGAUGCCAACCAGCCGUGCCCAUGAGAAAUCAAUCAUAGACGAGAGAAGCUAUUUCUGGAUGUGAACUGAUGCAAUAAUUCAUCUCCCGUCGUAAUUUCACUUUUGGUGUUGGAAAUACAGCAAAAGAAAAUCCUUCUUCCAGUCUGAACACCAAGAACAGUUCCUCAGUUCAGGAAUCUGCUCAACCAAUAGUUGACCAUUCAACUCCCCUUGGAAA
rnacentral:lncRNA from 1 species